rnacentral:sRNA from 1 species
UAAAGACACAUACCUGUGCAUCAGAAAAAAAAAAUCAAUGAAAAGGUCCAGUUAUGUGCUUAA